CCUACGGGAGGCAGCAGUGAGGAAUAUUGGUCAAUGGCCGAAAGUCUGAACCAGCCAAGUCGCGUGAAGGAAGACGGCCCUACGGGUUGUAAACCUCUUUUGUCGGGGGGCAAACGGAGUCACGUGUGACUCCUUGAAAGUACCCUACGAACAAGCAUCGGCUAACUCCGUGCCAGCAGCCGCGGUAAUACGGAGGAUUCGAGCGUUAUCCGGAUUUAUUGGGUUUAAAGGGUGCGAAGGCGGAGGUGCAAGUCAGCGGUAAAAUUGCGGGGCUCAACCCCGUACUGCCGUUGAAACUGUUUGCCUUGAGUGUGCGAGCAGUAGGCUGAAUGUGUGGUGUAGCGGUGAAAUGCAUAGAUAUCAUGCAGAACUCCGAUUGCGAAGGCAGCAUACCGGGGUGCAACUGACGCUGAUGCACGAAAGCGUGGGGAUCGAACAGGAUUAGAUACCCGGGUAGUC
rnacentral:rRNA from 1 species